AUAUACGACCAUAGGGUGUGGAAAAUAGGGCUUCCCGUCCGCUCAGCCGUACUCAAGCCACACGCCGGUGAGUUAGUAGUUGGGUGGGUGACCACCAGCGAAUCCUCACUGUUGUAUGUU
rnacentral:rRNA from 1 species